rnacentral:rRNA from 1 species
CACGUAGGGUGCGAGCGUUGUCCGGAAUUAUUGGGCGUAAAGAGCUCGUAGGCGGUGUGUCGCGUCGGCCGUGAAAACCUGCAGCUUAACUGUGGGCUUGCGGUCGAUACGGGCAUCACUGGAGUUCGGCAGGGGAGACUGGAAUUCCUGGUGUAGCGGUGAAAUGCGCAGAUAUCAGGAGGAACACCGGUGGCGAAGGCGGUGGUCUGGGCCGGCACUGACGCUGAGGAGCGAAAGUGUGGGGAGCGAACAGG